UACAGAGGUCUCAAGCGUUUGUUCGGAUUCAUUGGGCGUAAAGGGUGUGUAGGUGGCGCGUAAGUCGGGGUGUGAAAUUCGAUGCUUAACUCCGAAACUGCAUUCGAUACUGCCGGUGCUUGAGGACUGGAGAGGAGACUGGAAUUCAUGGUGUAGCAGUGAAAUGCGUAGAGAUCAUGAGGAAGACCAGUGGCGAAGGCGGGUCUCUGGACAGUUCCUGACACUGAGGCACGAAGGCCAGGGGAGCAAAACGGGG
rnacentral:rRNA from 1 species